UCUGUAAUUUUGUUAAUUAUUGAAUUGAGAAUCAAAUCUAGGCCGUCCCUUUAGUCUUUAGUUUGAUAUUGGCCGUUGAUUCCUUGAUAGAAAGCCAAGUGAAAUCCUAAUACGUGUUUAAAGUCUUCGACCAUUCAGUUGCCAAACGGUCUUGGCCAAACCUUCGCGGAUUGCCCUCUGGCAUUCGCUCGGUAGAUUUCUGUAUCCGUUUUCAUUCCGCAAUCAAGGCUUCCGUUUCAAUUCCACCCUCUCUUCAAACCCCCAUUCGUUUUGUUCCAGUAUAAAGGUGAGUGAUCGUUUCAUUCGCUCUGUACAUUCCCCUUUCGUCAGAUUGUCUGCAUCAGAGAGAUCAGCUCCGGCGGCAUCGACUACUUUGUGCUUUGAAAUUUUGAUGUUGAGAGAGAUGUCCAAGACGACUUCAACAUUGUCGCAAGGUUUUGGAGCAUUUUCUUUUCAGAGAAGCUUGGAAAUUCGGUGUACAGAACAUGAAUCCUCAAGGACUGCAAUGGGUAGCAGGGUAGCCGUGGAGAUGUGUGAGAUGGCUGAGUAUGGGACGCGCAGCCCCUGCCUGCGGCGGAGAAAGGAACAACAGGGGAAAGAGUAAUAGAGACGAAGCAUGAGAGAGAAGUGCACGCAACUGAACAGACUCUCAAAUUCUCUGAUCUUGCUGCCCUCUAAUACCAGGUUUCUUCAAAUCCCUUUAGUGUUUGUUUGUCUUCUUCGAUUUUAACUUAACUCUUGGUGCUUAUCUUUUAUAAUUCCUAUAAUCUUCUUUUUGUUGCAUUUGGAUUUGAGGAUUAGCUUUUUCUUUUUUUCAUUUUCCUUUUACAAUCAAGCAGGUUUUGGAGAUUUUUUUCAAACUCCGUGAUGCAAGAAAUAUGUUUUUUUUUCAGAAACUAUUAUAAAUUUUACCCAAGGUACUGCUCCUGUUCUUCCACCAUACUUCCGUUUAGAGUUGGCGCAAACUGAAAAAAGAAGUCACUUCUGAAUUUUACCAAUGUUAUCUUCCUGGAACACUUUUAAAUGUUCCUGAUCAAUUUCACAUGUAAUGGAAAAAAGGCAUAGUUUUCUUGAUUUUUAUACUUUCAAAUAAUUUUUGUUGUUUACAUAUUUCUUUUCUUAAGUAACUUCUUAUCUGUUGCAAAAUAGCUUAGAAGACCUAUUCAACCUCUUGCAUUUCAUGUGGGCUGAUCCUUGGUGCAGCUGGGCAUGGUUGCACAGGCUGACUCAAAAGCCUUAUGAGAAUGGUGAUCUAUGAUUUAGUCUGUUGUGCAUUUACUUAUUAGUACAUAAUUCUUUUCCCCAUCCUCAGGUGUGACCCACAUUGAUGGCAAAUUGUAUGGCAACAGUCAACAGAUAUGAGCCAACUAUAUUCACAUGACUCUACAGGUGAAUUUUUAACAUUGAGAGUGUGGAAAACCGGGGAGCCAUGGUGCUUAUUCAUGCAGUAUGGAGAGGAUAGUUAUUAGCGGUGUCAUUCAUCACCAUCAUCACCUUCAUUGCUGGGAACCAAAGGGUUAGCUCUCUCUUUACCCACUUGGGUUGUUCAUGUCUCCAGUGUCGCUGAAUGGACAAACUCCUCCAAUCAUGAAAUAGUACUCCAUCCUGGACCCCACAUUGUGUCGUAGCACUAUAUCUACAUGAAAGGAAUCACACUCCAAUUUUUGCCAAGGUUAAUAUUAUCUUUUUUUUUAGGUUGGGACUUACUUUGUGGGGCAGUACUACCAUAUGCUUCAGAAUCAGCCAGAGAUCGUGUUGAACGCUAAUGGAAGCUGAAAGUAAAAGGGAAGUAUUAAUUUUUUGGAGAAGUGAUCAAAGCCAUAUGGAGGCGGCAGCAGCAGGAAAACACUUUGAUGAUGCUAUUUGUUUGUUCAAUUGUCGUAAGGUCCAUGCCUGCCUAUGUAUAUGAGCUGCAAGAGAAUAUCAUGGUUGCGAAAAAAGUGGGUUGAUCUUCUGUGCUUAAACACUGGUGGUGCAUAGAAGAAUGGAUGAUGCCGAGGCCAUGGAGUAGACACUUGAUCACUUGGACACUGCACAGAAAGAGUUUCACAACUGAUUUUUUAUUUUGCCCAAGUUGAUAUUUCUUUAUUUUAAACUAUAUUCAUAUAAAUGAUCAGAUUUUAUGUCUUGGAGAAAUUACUGACAUAACUUCAGUUUCUGUUGUGUAUCACUCUCAUUUGUAUUUUUUUUGUUACUUGCCUUUUUUUUUGUUACAAUCACUCUCAUUUGUUGAGCA